rnacentral:lncRNA from 1 species
GGGGAGGUGCCGCUGCCGCCGAGGCGGGGCCCCGCUCCGCUCCACCGCGCCGCGCCCGGCCCGCACCGCUCCGCUCAGCAGCGGCCCCGUUCCGGCUCCGCGGCCCCGGCGCGGCGGUGCUGCCGCGCUCCCCCGCCGCGGCUCCGGGCGCCUCCCGCCUCCCAGCAUGAAUGUGAGGAAGGUGGAGAGCAUCUCGGCACAGCUGGAGGAGGCCAGCUCUACAGGCGGUAGGACGGGAGCGACGUGGGGGCGCGGAGCUUUUUGCUUUUUUCUUUUUUAAUUUUAUUUAUUUAUUUAGUAGUUAUUUUGGGGUUUCUCCCUUUACCUUUAAGCAGCAAGUCUCGCAACUUGGCGUGGGGCUUGCAGGGGGGAGCUGCCUGCUUGCAUGGGGUAAAUGCAUUUGUGAUGUUUUGCAAAAAUGUGUGCGGCUGUGGGGACGGUAAGCAAACGCUUAAUGCCGGGGGUCUCGGGCUGAGACGAGCUGAACGCUUUGCAAAAGCCGUCUGUAAGGUGCCCGCUGUGGCCGACCUGGUACUUUUGCCUUCACUGAAAAGAUCCAGGGCUGAGAAUGGAGCUCCACGGGCACCACGCACCAAACUCCCGGGAGGUAAUUUGGUCAGUCCCACAUUCACGUUUCUGCUUUAGUCUCCUUUGUAUCUUCUCGAUGCUUAAGUAACAACUACCUGCUGGAGAGCAGCAUGCUCUGGUAAGCUAGAGGCUAUCUGCUGCCUUUCUCUCCUCAGCACUGCAAUGUGGAAUACACCUGAGAAGGGUUGCAAAAUAACUUGUGUUUUGGGGAGGAGAAAAGCAAACUUUGCUGUCUUCCAUCCACCAGGGUGUUAAGAGCUGUACUCUCAACAUAGGUAGGAAACGUUUGUUUAGAAACGAAGCUGCAUGGAUACAGUGUACCUAACAUUCUGCUGCCCUGCUUCGUGUAAUGUGGUUAAGCAGAGGAAGAUUGGAGGAUUAAUGAAUAACUUUGCAAAAUAGCCAGUCAUACAUAAGGAAAGUUGUUCUCUAAGAAAGGAUAGUAAACUGUUUCAUGUUUCACUCUAUGUUGCUAGAUUUCUCAUAAACUGUGAUGCCAGUGCACAGUAACAGCCUUGUUGUGAAGUUGCUUUAGAGACACAGCAGUGUUCCACCCUUUGCCUGUUUUCUCAUGUUUCAAAGUAGUCUUUCUGCUCCUCAGAAGAGGCUCAGCCUCAUGUCUUCUGUUGGAUUGUGCUCAGCUUUUUAUUCUCCUUACUGCUCUAGCUGCACUUGCAUGUUAGGGCCCAUAGCCAUUCAUAUAGGGUACAGGAUCACUUGCCUUUGGGAUAGAGAACUUUUGUUCUGAGUGUGCAAUUAGUUUUAGGCUACCACUUCAAUGGAUAAACUAUCUGUGCGGAAAUUAAAUCUUCAGAAAAACGUACACUACAGGAAUCCAGCAAAGGAUUCAGCCACUAGUGUGAUAUGGUGAUACUUCUUACUGCUUUUCAAAUCACGGCCCCAAAGUUGGAAUUAAGGCAUUUUCCCCCACAUAUACCCAUCAGACUUACAGCUCUUCUCCGUUAUGUAUCAGAAAGUCACUGUUUUUCCAUCCCAUGUUCUUCUUUACUGACAAGUGCUGGCACCUGUGCUACACCAACAGGACUGGUUGGGCUAAACACAACUCAGGACAUAACUCAGACACAGUGGGAUUUGUGCAGCUGCUACUGAAGCAUAAUUUGUUUUAUGGGUCAUUACUGUAGGUGUUGAAGCAUAAAGUGCUCGCAGCUUAAUGUUUCAUCUUACAGGUUUAGGUAGUAGUAACAGGAAAAUGUCUUAGGACAUUAGAACUGGGGAAAUACGAUCUGAAUCAAUGCCAUACAAAUAUAUCAAGGUGGUGUUUUUACAUAAAAUGUUUUCAGUUGAGCAAUAUAUUGUUUGUGUUCUGUGCUGGUUUUCUUGAUAUGCAUGCCAUGUCAGUUUUACAACUGAACAGUGGAUUUGAUUAAUUUUAAACUUGUGAUGGUCAGAGCCAAGAUACACUUUUGCACUGUUCAAAAGUAAAAAGCAAAAUGUGAUUGGAACAUGAGUUACUGCAGGAAAAGCACCUCUCAGACAUUAGUUCUCGUUCCAGAAAUGGCAAAAGUAAAGAUAAAAAUGACAGUGCUAAAAGCAAAUUCUCCUCUUUUAGGAGAUCACCACUCAACGUAUACGUCUCAAUGCUGGCUUGAUUUUUAAGGAAGCUUUACUGCUCUGGGCUCCUUUCUUAUAUGAAUGAGCAUGCUUGUGUUCAUCUUCUCAAAAUUUUGAUUCUUUUUGGUCUAAAAUUCCCAGUCUGCCUUUCUUUUCUCUGGUUGCAAUCCAUUUUCAGGCCCAUCAGCAUUUCAGAAUGUUUGUGGGUUACUUAGUGAGGAAGUUUUCCAUAGAUUUGCUCUCACUAUUUCUCUUCAAAUAUAAACUACCAUUUAAAAAGCAAUAAUACUUUAAAUAUUGUGUCUGCAGCAGAGGGGCUUGCUGCACGAGGAUCAGAAAAUGUAACCAGUGAAUGUGUAAUUGUUUAUCUGCUUCGUUUUUCCAAGCAAAGUGAAGCCAAAGUAAUACAUGAGCAGCUUGAACUAUGAAAAUUAUUAAUAAAAAAAAGGGAAAUAUUUUGUACCUUUAAAUGAGUAAUGAUGCCCUUUGGCUGCUCUUCCCCUCGCAUUUACUGUAUUGCAGCUUGGAGGACAUCUUUUGUAUUCAAGCUAGUGUUGGCUGAAGCACCACUGGGAGUUGUUAAGUAACAAAACAUUUCCUGUCUGAAAUAUUCAGCCAUUGUAAGGGUGAACUGUUUCAUCCCUUGUCCCCAUGAAAGUCUUUAUCCAUGUCUUAUCUGUGAGGCAGUUGUGUUUGUGGUAGUAGCAGCCAAAACUCAUCUGUUAUCAGGGAAAGGCAAUAAAGUUUCAUAGCAAAACCAAGAGAGUAGAGGGAAAUUAUUAGAAACAAUUCAGUGGGUAAGAAUAAGUUUAACCGUGAGAUGUUUUCUGUGUUGAAUAUCCAGGACAAAUUUAAGCUAUUGGAAAUGGUAAUAUUAUGGUAAUGGUAGUAUAUGGAAUAUAAUGGUAAUAUAAGGCACUAUCAGAGUUACUCCUUGCUUUACUGUAGGGUAUCACAAAUUCAGAAUGGGGAUUGUGCUGACCAGUAGCCAUUUCCUUAUUCAAACAACAGAAAUCUUUACAAAAGUUGUGAAAUCGUUUAUGACAAGUCUCAAAGUUUUGUCUAUGGUGAGACAGGGCAGUCUCAAAUACCACAUUGUGCAUAAUGUAGAAACGACAACAGGUAGAACAACUAGUGCCAUUGAAAAGUGUACAACUUUAAGUUAUCCUGGAUUUUGGUAUUCUCUGAUUCUCUUAAGGAGAUCCUUAUGCAGUAGUGAUCACUUUUGGUUUUAACAAACAGCUUGUUCUUGUUGCUUGAGGUAUUCUUAGGAUACAGUGGGAGCAGUCACAGGGGGCAAAAAGCUACAUAAGAAAAGAGUUAAAUAUAAGAACUUAAGAGACCAAAUGCCAAAGAAAAGUGAUGAAAGUUUUCAAAAUAUGCACUGGAAAACAGUGAUUAAAAAAAAAUGAGGGAUGAAGAAACAGCUUCUUAUUCCACUUGAGACUAAUAUUAACGAGAGUGUGCUCUAUUGAGGGAUACUGGAAAAGGGAGGUGUAUGUUGGACAAAGUCCUUCGUAUCCCAGUUUGGAUUCAUCUGAGGCAAUGAGAAGCAGUGACUUUGCAAGUGCCUUCCAUCAGUGCUCUUAUCAGAACUCUGGUUUGCCUAGGAGCUCCAUCCAUAGGGCAUGCUGUCAGUCAGCAGUCAGUGUCACUUUUUCUACUAAUGACCUGUUGUCCCUAAACACUCUUCAUUUUAGAUUUGAGACAUGUUGUUGUUUUUAUCUUAUGCACCCAUAUUCCCGUGUCUGCCCGAUUACUUCAUAACACAGAUGCAUUCUGCUUAUAGGAGCCACAGUCAGAAUGGCUGCUUUGAAAUGCCAUGCAUUUCUGUGAAAGUUAGAAACAUGCAAGGAAAGGAAUAAAUUAAAUGGACUCCUGAUCUAAUAAAGGAGAUAUCUUUAUACCACACAUGCAAGUAAAUGCAAAUAUUUUGUGUGUAAAACCGUAUUUCUCAUUCAUGCAGGAUGGAGGAAAGAACUGAAGAACAGGAUGCAGUGUAAGCCUCUUUUUAAAAUUUUACUCUUCGCCUCCAUCUCUAGUUUCUGUAUUCAGCGAGCACAUGAAGCUGUGAUUAGAUGCAAAAUUCUCAUAUUGAGAGCUACGUUUGGUAUGAAUGCCAAAAAUGCCUUGGCUUCCCACCAGUAUCAACUUUAUAGGUUUUGCACAAAAUAUUGUUUUCAUUAAUCUGUGCUUUGAAGCUUCUAAUCAUGCUAGGAGAAUUAAUAUAGAUAACCAAAUGUGUGGGUGAUUUUCAGGUAUAUUGCGUUCAGAGAACUGGCUGCAGGUGAUUUUAGACUUUAUGAAAUAUAGAGAGGCAGAUGGGAUCUAGCAGUUAAUGUAGCCACAAGAGAAGUAGAUAGCUUGUGUCAUGGAAAGCUUUUACAGCGUAUCAGAUAUGCACUUAGAACUCAUGCUUUGGGUUGGAACUGAAUAUUUGAUCUGCGCAGUGUUCAGCUGUAAUCUAUCCCAUCUCGGCCAUCCUGUUUGCCAUUGUGAUUUAUUCCAAAUCUUUUGGCACUUGAAAAAGAAAGUGUCUAAAAAUACCACAAUGCCUGAUUGCUUCACUGUUUCACAGAUAAGUGCAUUCUUGCUAGCCUGCCCUGCUAUCCUUCCUCCCAAAUUCUGGUUGUCCUCUCUUUCUUGUAAGUGUACAGACCACCAGAAUAGAUUGUGUUCAGAACCUUGCCUGUCAAAUGAACACUGGUCAUAUAUUGUCUGCUAUUAGCAGAGGCCAUUACUCCUAUUUGAGAUGAGAGAGAAAAUAUUGGCACAAGGUUGUGUGCUGGGCCAGGAGCCAAUCUUUUUUUUUUUUUUUUCUGGUGGUGGUAGUCAAUACAGUCUGAACCAAGUAGGAUUCUUUUAUUUAUUGGCACACACACUUUAAUUAAAAGCCCUGGGCCUAUUCUGGGCAGUGAGGGUUCCAGACAUAAAAACUUUCUUUGCUGGGAGCACAGCAUGGUGGCACAGCUAGAGAUGGUUAAUGGACAAGUUUGGACAUUAUAUCUCCAUAAUGUUUGGCUUGAGCUAUAAUGUAUGUCUGUGUCAGAAGUAAACGGACAAAAGGUUGACAACAGGUGCUAAUUUUUUGAUAGCAUUUGUCACUUCAGAAUCAUGUUUUCUGUGGUGAGGUCUUUGCUUCCUAUUGCUUUGCUGGCUGGACAGUAUUUGGCCCAGGUUUCUCACUGAGUACAUCAGGUGCAAUCUGGAAGAGAAGUGAAAAUGUAUGCAAUGUGUAUAUAUAUUUUUGUCUGUAGGGCUGUGAAAAGCCUGGAAUCCACUUAUUUUGUGAUGUUCUUCAUUAUUAUUUUGCAUUUGUAUUACAAGAGACUUGUACUGUAGCAUCGUGUAGAUCAUGGAUUUAUUUUAUUUUCAUUUUCCACUCUCACACUGAGGGGGAAAUCGGUUCUGCGUUAUUGCCUUCAUGCGACAGCAGUGGAGAUUGGGCUCUGAUCUUGCUGCUAUGAAUGUGAGAGGUCUAUAGACAGCUAUAAAUUGGCAGCAGUUUAAAAUAUGUUGUUGGUUGGAAAAAUAAAUCGAAUUUAUUCACCCCUAAGAAUCAACUCAAACACAGAAGAAAGCUGUAUAUCUGAACUCAUACUGUGUUAUAUUUCUGGCAGCCUAGUGGAGACUUAAUGUGGUAUUAAAAGGAUCUAGCUUUCUGUCAGAGGUCUGAAACAAAUAUAGCAUUGCUUUUCCUUUUUGUAUUCUUUUUCACCUAUAAAACACAUUUUAUCUUAGAGAUACAGCUUAUAGUCGUGAUCAUCUGUUGUAUAAGUUAUGCUGCAGUGACACAGACAGUGGUGCAAAAGCCACAGAUGCUUAUGUGUGCUCUGGAGAAACAAACUACAGGUGGAGGGCAUGGUAACAGGGAAUUUUUAGCUAUAAAUGUCUUGAUCUCUUAAGAACACUUCACACUUUAAUGUUUGGACUUUAUUGUAAGAGAAAAUAUAUUUGGAAGUGAGAUAUUUUCACCAAAUUAAAUGUAAGCCCAGAAGCUUUGUGGAGCACCCCGAGGUGUCUAGCACUCUAGUGCACAUUAUAGCAUUGUGCCACAAAAUGACUUAAGUGGUGACACAUAGAAAUCGUUAUACAAAAUUAAAGGCUUUAAAUGUCUUAAGACAUAGAUUGUAAGGUGAUUUCUUUGUUCCAUGCUGUCAGUAAGAAAGGGUUUGCUAUUUCAAGGACAUGAAGAAAGACCAAUUUUACUGAUAUAUUGUCUUGAUCUCUCAAUUUUCAGUUACCUUUCCAGCAGAGACAAUUUUUAUGAAUAUUGCUUUCGUCAUUCAGAACAACAAAUCUUUAUCCUGUUUUUAAAUAAUUUUGCUUGCACUUGUAAGCCAGAAGUAGCAGUUAGGAUUUAUUAGAAUUUUAAAAAUGUAGCCCUACCCAUCUAUAAUGGGUCUGAUUUGUCAAAGUGUGGUGUGCUUUUUUUUUUCUUUUUCUUCUUUCUUUUCAUAAACUCAUUUAUCCUUGCCCAAAGUGGGAACAACCAGAAGAGCACGUCAUCAUGGUAACUCAUUUACUCUCCUCACUGUUCCUAUAAACCCUUUGAUACCACUGAGAAUAAUCACAGUGUAUAAGGAUCCUAAUAUUUGUGCAGAUCAGGAGAACGCUAAACCUGGAACUGAAAUACAGAUUAAGAUUUCAUGAUUGCAUGUAAAGAAAGGAAACAGCUGUACUGGAAAUACUUAGCAGUAAUUAAAAGCUUUAUAUCUCUGGUAUAUCUUGAUAUAAAGUCAAAUGACCCAAACCUCUUACUGAACUGCUCAUUUACACAGUUGACAGUAAAAAGAGCAGAAUGUAUCUCCAGUCUCUUAAUAUCUACAUGAAAUAGUAUCUUGGGGGUUCCCUAAUUUGUACUGCCUGGCUGCUGCUGCCAGAAGUAUACUUGCUGUCUGAGCAUAUACAGUGUGUUGUACUCUAGCAAUUUCCCCUGCUGUGUAAGGGCUACAGUAGGGGGAAAAAAAACAACGAAGGUAGUGGUGCUCAUACUGCGCUAGUAGAGGACUUCUUGGGUUGGAUCCCAAGCCUGUUUCUUGUAUGCUCUCACAGAAAUAUGUCUAAUAACCUGUACCAAUAAUUUUCUAAAUCCUUGAACAGUUUUAUGAAAUAGAGCAGAACCAAUGAUUCAGAUGAAAUCACUGAGUCACUGCAUAUGUGGAGCCUGCAAUAUUGACACACAUCUCUGUUUGUGUAUCAAAUGCAAUGUUAUUUUUUUGUUUUGUUGGUUGCACUCCGAAGCAUAGUUUUUAAUUACUUAAGAGUUGCUGUACAAUGGUAUGUCCUGAUCUUUGUUGUAUUACCUCUAUAGUUCAAAAUAACAUUUUAUAACAAAGAAAUUAUACUCUGUUCCACCUCACAUGCAUUUGUGAAUACAGUUUGGUCAGUGCUGACAAACCCCUGGAAAAAUUUAUGAAAUUUAUUUGACUUAAAAUUUGUAACACCAUUACAACAUAUGUUCUAAUAGAAACAUGUUGAAAGACAUCAUUGUGCCAAACAAAAGAUAGACACAGCAAAACAAAAAGAAUUAUACUAAGUGGACAAGUUCCUAUGUGCAUGCAGUAAGUCAUAACAGAGGGAAAGUACACUUGUUGGCUUUUUCAUUUUUUUAGUUGAUUUUUAAUAUACUUGUCUCAUGCCAUUUGAAAUGAUGGUCUUCUGACAGUUUCACCGUGUAUCAUGUGUCACUGCAACUAAGCAAGAUAAUUAAUUUUAUAGUAUGUAGAUGUAAACAGGCUAAAUAACAGAUUAACAAUAUAUAUAUAUUUUACUUUAUACUCUUUAAAAGAACUAGUACUAUUUUAAUGCUUUUAUGUGAAUGUUGCUGUUCGUGGUCUCAAAGAUUAUCCUAUGAAAGUCUGACCUUUCUUGAGGCUGUUUUAGAGCAUGCCAGACUAUUUUUUCAGCAGAAAGUGUCACCUGCACAUGUACUGUUUGCACCAGCACUGGGGAGGGUGCAGGACAGGUGGAUGUUGGGGUAACAACAAGCUGAGCUGUGCGUCUUGAGUCCUCACCCAGAUAGGUAGAAGAAAUGUGAGAAAAAAAUGUCAAGAAACGCUUUCUCAUGCAUGUGGCUUUGGUGGUAUCUGAGUAAGCUGACUGUGGGAUCUGCUGUUCUUAUCUUUACCUGGAGAUAAAUAAACUGUGUUUAUCUACAAUGCGUAGGGGAAGAAUCCCUAAUGAAUGAUUUUUUGAAGUAAUAGAAAGGAUGUAUUUUGAGUAGAUUCAGUGAUAGAACUGUGUUUUGCUUUAUUGAAUGCUGGUUACAGUAUGGUAGGUGUUUCCUCAGAUCACCAGAGGUCUUGAGUUUUGACAGCAUUUAACAAAAUGAUACCCAGGUGUCAUUUAUCAUCCUGACUAUUGACUUAUAUUCCAAUGCUCAGUAAGUAAACUCUACAUCUCUAAUGAUUCGUUCUUUCUGUUUUUUCUCUGUUUCCUUUUCCAUGUUGAUUUAUGUGCAUCUGAGGUUAUUUGGUUGCAUUCUGAGGUGUAACGUUAUAAAAAGUAUCACACACAGUAAUACUGUAGGAAAUAGAGAAAACUAAAUCAAUACUGUUCCUCUGUAGUAUUGUGUUCUGGCAGCAUCCACCUGCUGGUAACUGAAACAUGUAUAUUAUGAAGUUCCCCGUUAGUUUUGUUGUUUCAAAGCCAUUGCAUUCAGUCCACUCCUGUCGUUUUAUACACUUUUGUCCCUGCCAGGACACUGGGGAGAGAGGAGGCCAAACAGCAAGAUGGAUUUAGUAAAGGGCUUACAUGGUGGUGAAUGCCCCCUUUGCAGGAGAAGGCUGAGCCUCUGAGUUGUUCAUGCAAUGGCCCUGUUUGCUUGCCACUUGGAAGGGUCUUAUAAACCCCUCAGCCAAAAGAGCCCCUUCUUUUCUUUGUGUGAUCUUAUUCCUUGAUCUGAUGAUGUUUGGAAGUUGUGCAGUUUAUUUUUUUUCAAAGUUGGUUGAUUGUCACAGGAAAGGAGAAUAUCUGAUGCUUUCAGUGAGUUAGUGGGAUACUAUGCAAGUUUUAUAAAGCUGAAUUCCAAUAGCCAGCAGGAAGACUAUGAUGAGGUUAAGGGGAGGAACACAUCUAACUAAGGGUAUAUGGUGACAUAGUUCUUUACGUGGCACGCUGGCUAUCAAGUUUUUCCCCCCUAGUACUUUAAAUGCUUGCUAAUAUGUAAGAUAGUGGGACUGGUGUAUAAUAGAAUACCUUGUUUAAUUAGCUAGCAAGGUCCUGCACCAUUUAGGCAUUAUGUAGACUUGCGAAAAUAUUUGCUUUGUUUGCACCUUUUUUUUUUUUUUAUUCAGCUAAUUUUCUGAUCCUAAAAUAGAAUAAAACAGUUCGAGGUUUCAGUACAGUUAGAAACAAGAAGUCAUCUUUGAGUUAUAACAGACUUCCUGGGAUUUUUUUUCCUUCUGAAGAUAAUAUUUAAAAAUACAAUCAAAAGCAUUUUGGCCUGGUCGCAAUGGAAGGCCAAACUAUCUGAAAGGUGUCAGUAAAUUUCUAACAGUAUAUUACAUUGCUGGUAGACUGACAGUCUAUUAAGGCCUUUUCAAUUAAAGAAGAAAGUAGGCUUUUUUGUCUAUUUUCCUUUCAAGAACCCAUAACGCUAAUGGUGUGUUUUCCAGUAUGCUGCAUCACAAAGAAUACAUGAAUAAACAGCUGUCAGUUGAGAGACUGAUUCCUCACUGAAAACAACAACAAGGUGAUGACAUUAUUAAAUUGUUAUUUGGCAAAUGGUAACUUACAAUGCUGCUCAUAUAGAUAGUGGGUUAUCCAUUUUGCAGAUAUAUCCUUAGAAGUCUGAAUUCAGUAGUAGGCAUACAGUUAAUUAGAUAGACGCUGAUUUCUUGUUGGAAUAAUGCUAAAACAACACUUCAUUUUGAAAGAGAGGGCAUAUUGAUUAAAUAUCUUGAACUGAAGCAACUAAUGUGAAAUUCUUGAUGCCUUAGUGCCUGUUUGUUUGAUUAGAAGGUCUGAACUUAAGACCAUUGCAAUACAGCAUAGUGUUUACAACUGAGAACCAUCCUGUUAUACUUAAGGAAUAUGCAUUGACAAAGAUGUUUGAACAGUAAACUUUUAGUCCUUUAGAUUCUGAAAUCUCUUACAGAGAAGGAAAGAAAGCUUUUCUCUCUUUCUGUAUAAUCUAUAAUUUAUUAAAUUUAUUAAACCAAAGAAGAUAGACUCUGGCUUUAUGGGAUACCAAACUACACUGACAAUGCACCUUAUAGAGCUAAUGCUAAUGGAAGCUUCUAAUAGUAACAGAAGUAUAUGAGAAACAAAAUGAGAUAUCAUUAGAGUCUGUUUCCCUGCUCGGAAUAUUGGAGAAUAUUUCCAGUGGAGACCAGCAAAAUUAUAACUUACUCUUUUUAAGAGUCAGCUAAUAAUUUGCUUUCUGGGAAACAAAACUUCAAGGAAUGCUCGUGUAUCUGGGUAUUAUUAUUUGAGAAGCACAUAUUUUAAGAAAAAUAAAAGAACACAAACACCACCAAAGCUGAGGAUUUUCCGUCUCACAAUAUAAUAAAAAGACAUACACUCAGUCAACUUUCUAGGUAUACGUUCUGUGGAUGCUGAGUAUAUACAGCUGUCUACUCAGGGCAGAAAUGCAAAAUGCAGCUCAACAUUUUUAUUACACGCAUUUGUAAUUUUCAGAUUAAAGCAAUAAAGAUGUAGGUUUACAGAAAAAUAGUUCAGGAGAGAAGUUGAGAACUCUUACUAUCUAUCCUGAUGGCCAAAGGUAGGAUCAAAUAUUUAUGGUAGUCAAGGCAGCUUUUUGUCUUAUAUGUACUUAAAAUCCACUAUUACUCUGUGAUUCAUAACAUUGCUAAAUAAUUUACUUCAGAAUUUGUGUUUGCUGGUACAAACUUUUUCUAAGUUCUAAAGUAAAUCAUACUUCUAAGUCCUAUAGCACAUAACUGAUGAAAUACACAUCCCAGAUUUCACAGCUGAACAGGACAAAAACAGUAUGGCAUAAAAACUAGACUGUUGUCUUAUUUAUCCUUUCAGGUAAUAAUGACUGCCCCUUUUACAACGAUGCCCCACAUGCUCAGUAGCGUCAGAUCUCCCAGACGGACAUGUAUUACCUAAAUAGUCUUUCCUUCUGUUUCUAUAGGAUAAGUUAUUUAUUUGGAACUCUACCUUAUGUCUUUUACGUUACAAAUGAAUCUUUGAGGGUUGUUUUUUUAAUCUUCUAAAUUCAAAGUUGUUUACUGACCACAUUGCUUGAAAUGGGGGGGGAGAGGGGGGAAGAGAAAGGAAAAAAGGUUAGGUGCAAUUUUAAUCUUAGCUCCAAAAGUUACUGCCUCACACAUAGGAGACAUUACAGCUUCCUCACAUUGAUGGUAGGAGUAACAUCCUUAAGAGAGUUGAGAAGGUAAUCUCCCAGCACCUGUUUUAUGACUAAUCACUGUGGAGUAAGCAUCCUUGCAGUGCAGCAAAUCUUACAUAGCUCUCAGGAAUUUGGGAUGUGGUAAGAGCUGCUGUCUUACAAGAAAUAACAACAUUGACUCUUCCCUGUUUCUGUGGGAAGUUUGGUGGAAGAGUGCACAGAUCCUUAUGGGCCUCAAGAACUUGUCUCUUUUGUGAUAUGAAUUUGAAAUAAAUGGAGAUAAGGACAGCUUCAACUUGCAUAGCUUUCCAGCUACUGGGUUUGGACCUUUAGAAAGGAGUUAUGGAAAUUAGAGGAAAACUUUGUGAGUGAACUUUUUAUGAACUGCUUGUUUUCUAAGGAUAUUUUAGCUCUUGAACAUUUGAUACAUAACAUGAACAUCUUUCUCUCUUUCAUAAAUAAAAACUGAAGACAGUUACUUUAAACAAUUUCUUUUUUAACAUGAAAAGUCAGUGUCAUAGGCAAUAGCAAAGCUUUUGAAGUUUCAAACACUUGUUAUUCAGAUUUUUUUUUAUCAGUGCUCACACUUGAAAAUGUGCCUCUGCUUUAUAUGAGUGUUUUUGCCAAAUGUUGUUAUAAUGAUAAAAUAGCGUGUGCUCAUUUUGCUCUCAUUUUUCAAGGCUGAUGUAUAUAAGGCUUUAAUUACGAAGGCUGUCGUAUUUUAUGCCGGUUUAAUCCUUCCCAGUUUUAAUUUUUGGUGUACAUACAAUGAAGGACUUUCACUUUUGUCCAGUGCCUGAUUAAAAUCACCAUCUUGCAUUACAUGACAAUGCAAAUGACCACAGAGGAUUUAUUAUCUGUCUUUUCCAAAUUCAUUUUUAUCGUUUGAUAGUUUAGGGGUAUGGCUCUUUAGGCUCAUAGUUUCAGGAGAGUUCUGUGAUAGCUCAUCUGUGGAUGUUAAUAAAUUAAACUCUGUGUUUGAAUCCAGUAGUGAGAUGUGAUAAAGCUGUGUUAACUAGCCCAGGCAGAGCCUUUUAUCGGGCAGUUCUCCAGAGGCACUAAGCUGGCUCUCUGACUUUACACUAUUCAACAUUUCUUGUGUUCAACUUGCUUGGAAAACAUUGAUUUUUACACAGGUCUAUGUAACAGAUUCUUCUUCUGUGCAUACUUUGGCAACUUCAUGGUGUUAACAUUUAUUAUAACUAAUGUAUUUUAUAAAUCAUGUGGCUUUGCCUUCACAGUAUUCAUUCUCUCUGUGAAUUUAAUUUGAAUGUGCUAUAAAUCUAUCUGUCUAGCAUUGUCUGUUUCCUUCAGAACAAUUUUGUUGGACACUCGACCUUACCUAGAAAUAAAGCAUGCAAUUAAAUCUAUUUGUUGUGCCUACUCCUGUAUAACUUCUUAUCAGGCUAGUCAUUAGCCUUUUAUUGAGCUAUUAAGCCAGCAAUCAUUUACCCUUUGAUAGUGCUGUAAGGAGAACAACAUUGUUCGUUGAGGGAUAGAUCCACAAUACUUUAAUUAAAAUUCUCACCAACUUAAAAUAAGAUGCAACUUUCCAGCCACUCUGUCCCAAGCCUGUGGUGUUGCACAGGGAUGCUGUGACCAAAGUGACCCAGAAAUGCAGCCUGUCCACAUCCCUCUGUACGGUCUUUCUACCACCAGGCAGAUGAAUACUUCCUCUCAACUUAGUAUCAUCUGCAAACUUACUGAAGGUGCUCUCAGUCCCCUCAUCCAGAUCAUCAAUAAAGACAUUAAACAGAGUUGGCCUCAAUAGUGACCUCUAGGGACCACCACUUGUGACUGGUCACCAGCUGGAUUUAAGUCCAUUCACUACCACUCACUGGCGCCAGCCAUCCAGUCAGUUUUUAACCAACAAAGAAUGUAUCUGUCAAUCCAUGAGCUACAAGCUUCUCCUGGAGAGUAUUGUGGGAGACAAGGUCAAAGACUUUGCUUAAGUCUAGGUAGACUACAUUAACAGCCUUUUCCUCAUCAACUAUAUGGGUCACUAGAUUGCAGAAGAUCAGGUUGGUCAAGCAGGACCUGCUUGUCAUGAGCCCAUGCUGGAUGAGCCUGCUCUUGUGAUUGUCCCACACAUGCUAUAUGAUCUCCCUCAGGAGGAUCUGCUCCAUAACCUUUCCUGGCACUGAAAUCAGGCUGAUGGGCCUGUAGUUCCCUGGAUCUUUCUUCCUACAUAUCUUGUAGAUGGGCAUCACAUUCGCAAGUUUGAUGAACUGAAUACCUGUUAAUAGUUGGAAUUCAUUAACUGAUCUUCUGGAACACAUCUUCUUAGCUCCAUCUGAAAUUUGUGCAUUGUCUAUCCAUUCCAUGAUUUACACCAGAAUGUGGUAUCUAGGGGCUGUUAGGUGACUUCUUCCGAAAGCAUGCUCCUGAUCUGAAUGAAAAUGUUAACAUUCACAGGCCAGACAGCACUGUGGGAGACUUCCAGUUCUCCAGGGGACCAGAAAUUGGGUGUUUGUUGAAUUAGUUUCAUCUACUUCGCAGAAUUCAAAUCUCAUUCUUUCUAGUUCACGGAAUUUAUGGAGACAUGCCUGGGGACCAUGGUAAUAGUUCAGGGAUGUUUAUUAAAUCUUGCACCUAUAUUUAUUAGGCUUUACUAAAAUACAGAAAAAUAUGUGGAAUAGAUAUUAAUUUCACCAAAAUUGCAGAUUGUAAGAUAUUAAAGCCAAAUCCCUUGUUAGAGGUGUUUCAAGAUCUAAUCACUAUCACCAAGCAACAGCAUCAUUGAGGAGAGAUGGUCCUCAGUACUUGAUAACUGCAAUCACUUGCACUGAUUGACAUAAUAGUCAUUACGUGUAUUCAGGCAGCUCAUGUUGUUGUGACUGUAGAAUGGCAAUGUGCAGAAGUUUGUACAGAAUAUCCAUUAGCAAAAUGCAUUAUUGAACAGGAAAAUAAAUAGCUGUGUCAAAAAUAAGCAUUGCAGGUUUUAAAAGUAGAAUACACAUGCGCUAGAAUUUCAGUUCUGGACUCGGUAAGUAUAUUAUCUUAGAUUGGUAGUAUCACAGGCUGCAUUCUGCAACAUUAUAUAGACAUGUGCUGGUAACUUCUUGUAACUUCUGUGUUUCAGAUUGCAAUUAAUUAUUAACAGAAAAUUAUAUAAAAUCAAUACAAAAACAGAGAGGAAAAAUAAGACAAUAGCACCGCAAAGAGUAUAAAUCAGUACGGGAGUUUGGGUGGUUAUAUAAAUUACACUAUAAAGUCAUAGAAUGUUUUGGGUUGGAAGGGAACUUAAAGAUUAUCUAGUUCGAACAGUUCUGGCAUAGGCAAGGACGCAUUCCAAUCAGUCACUAGAUCUGAUUGCCUCAAACUCCAUGUAACCUGACCUUGAACAUUUCUGGGGCUGGAGCAUCUGCAACUGUGGGCAAUGUCUGUUUGUGAUGGCUCUAAAAUCUGAAAUUUUAAACUACAGUGCCAGAGCUGUGCUGCUCCCUGAUUGUUUUAAGACUGGUUUUAAGUACAUUUGUAGUUUGUUUGUAGCAAAUGAGUAGAAUUUUCCUUGCACGCCAUGACUGUACGGUCUAAUACUGCUCUUGCUCACUUUAGAAGUGGCCACAAAGCCAAAGGAACUUCAAUUGGUCUUCAUCAUAUUUUUAAGCUCAGAAACUACACCUUGCAAUGCCUGUCUGUCCUAAGGAUUCAUAUCUAUUGUUCAGAGUGAUUAUGCUUCUUUUAAACAUUGUUAAAUUGCUUCCAAAUCCAAUUAUCUCAGGAAUGACGCAGCUAACAGAUUUAUUCUUAGCUCUUGUAAGUAACAUCUCAGCCUACUAUGAAAAACAUUUUAAAAUCUUGAAGAUGAAAACUUCAUUCCUAGUCUCCCACAUUCACUUUGCUUAAACAACAUACAGAUUUGUUUCUCCCAGAGUUCUGUGAAAGCAGAGCUAUUCUGUGUUGGAAACUAAGAAGGAAUUACGGGCAAUUUUUUGAGGGCUGAAAGUGACUGAAAGUUUCUGCUUAGCACUGAGGAGGCUACACCUGGAAUACUGUGGCCUUUCUGGGCUGCCCUGUACAAGAGAGACAUGGACAUAACGGAGAAAGUUGAGCAAAGAGCCAUGCAGAAGACAGAGGGAAUGGAGCAUGUCUCCUAUAAGGAGAGGCUGAGAGAGCUGGGACUGUUCAGCCAAGCGAAGAGGAGGCUUAGGGGAAUCUUAUCAGUAAGUAGAAACAUCUGAAGAGAGGAUGCAGAGGGCACAGAGCCAGGCUCUUUUCAGUGGUGCCCAUUGCCAGGAUCAGAGGCAAUGGAUUCAAACUGGAGCACAGGAGGUCCCUUCUGAACAUCAGGCAGUGCUUCAGUGGUGUGUUGGUGAUGGAGCACUGGCACAGGCUGCCUGGAUACUGUGGAAUCUCUUCCUUGGAGAUCUUCAGAAGGUGUCUGGAUGUAGGCCUGGGCACCUUGCUCUGUUAUCCCUUCUACGGCAGGGGUGGUAUCAGGUAAGGACCCUUCCAACCUCAGUUCAGUGACACUGUGAUUGAAACAGAUGACUUUAAGAACUGCCAUUAUAUGCUAUAGGUGCAUUAAUUGUAAUUAAAUUUGUAGAGAUGCUUUUGUUUUUGUGGCCACCAAAAAUGACAUUUUUCAUCUUUUUAGAUUUCUAUACAAACUUUUGUAUUUAAAAAUUAUACCAGGGAUAAUCCUCGCUGAGAAGAAAAUUGGAAUUAAUAUAUUUAAGCAAAUGGGAAGGAAAGCAGUAGUUACCUAUGAAAUUGAAAGAGAGGUUCUGCAGUUUGAUGUACUGUGUAACUAAUAGAUUAAGAAUUAGAAAAUAAUGGUUUUAUGUGUUCAAUAUUAAGUAAUUUACUUCUCAGCUGAAUGAAAGAAAACUUUAUUAGCUUUGUUUUUUUUACUGUGUGUGUAUGGUAUUUGAUUUUGUUGUAUAUGCAUCGUGUUUCUAAAUGGAAUGAAUAGGUCAGCUGGAUAAACUGUCUGAAUCCGUUCAUAGUGGCUUUUACAGAAGUUUUCAAUACCUAAGUCUGGGAUGCGUACAGAGCUGUUCUCUUUUCCCAGUGAAAAUGUAAACCAGAUUAGUGGGGCCUGGAGCUUGCUCAUGUUUUCACUUUGAUUGAUUAAAUUAUGUUGGAAGUUUCCUGUGUUGUAGCCCAUGGCAGUACCAUGUAGAUAUUGUAUAAUGACCCAUUUAAGAAAUGCAAUCAGAACAGAUGCUAUAAGGAUUGCAUAUUAACUUGUAUAGAGAAAAUGCCUUCAGUCAAGUGAAGAAUUUUGCGGUUGCUAGAUGAACACAGGGAGCUGAAUUCAAGUAAAUAUUAGCCUAUUUUUAAAGAAUAAUACUAAAUGGUUGUAUCACUAUAUAAGUCAGAGCCUUUUCUUUAGAAGCGUACCAUUAAAUUUUCCUUUUCAUCUUUAUUUGAAAAUGGGAAAUUUUCACCUGAACUAAAGUUCUGUCUAGAGCCUCAUUUUAUGCUAGGUUGGAUACUGAUCCUGCGAUUGUGUGUUUACUCUUUCUUUUUUAAUAUUGAUAAAAAGUAAACCAUUAGUUUUAAAGUUUUCUUAUGAAGAGCUAUAGCGUUACUAAGAAGCACCUUAAAAAUGUUUAAGGGAACAGCUGAAAUAUUUGUAUUUUUCUGAAAUCUCUUUUCUUGUAAGAAGACUUGCUCAUCGUUAUAACAAAAUAUCAAUGUGAACUUAUCUGCAAGCUUUGUUACAUCUAAUAAUUAGAAAAAUCUUAGUAAUAAUGAAAAAAUCUGACACUUUUCCUAACAUUUUAAAUUUCACGUUUGAAUUAUCAGAUUACAUUUUGUGCCAAAAUCACGUUAAGAAAAUUGCCCAUUGAUUUUUACAAACUCAGGAGCGUUUAAAAGCAGGUUACAACACUGAGGUGGUACUGAUGGGCACAUGAGCUCUCAACUGGGUUUGAAGUCAAGACUCAUUUUAAACAGUAUCUUCAGACCUUCAGGGCCUACACUAAGGUCUUCAAUGGGACAGUUGUUCAAAACUGGAAAAAAUGCUUUGUUAGAACACGUGAAUGCCAUACCAGUUAUUUUAGUAGAGAGGAGAUAUACAUUCAGUCGCUGCAGUUCAUUUAUUAUCUGUGUGCUCACUUGGAAACUUCUUUUCCAAAGUUUUUCAAAGCACAAGUAAGAACAAAAUGUUAAAUCUUCAAAAAUGAAAACUAAAAAUUUCGUAAAAUAAAACAUGGGCACAGUUCUGUUUCAAAUAAAUGCCUAACUGUCACAAGAGUUAAAACAACGAAAAGGAGAUUCAGAAGCUAUCGCAGCUACUCGUGCAGUAAGCUUUUUAGUACAUGCUACUUACCUAUACUGCACUUUUUUUUUUAAUUCCUACUGAAAAAGGUAAACUAAAUUGACAAUCGUAAAUAUCCAUUAAUUUGAUAACUUGAUAAGUUUCAAAAUCUGACUGAAUUUAUGCUCAAAAAUAUUCAGUAAUUAAAGGUAUUUUGACUAAAAGAGAGCCUGCACUCUUUCUCUACUCCCUCAAGCUCUAAGGCACUAUCAUCAGGAUUGAGAAUAGAAACCCUUCAUCUAGACUGAGAAAAAGAAUAGUCUGGUUAUAUUAGCUUGUUACUUUUUACCAAAUUAAUGUAGAGCCUGUUCAGGAUCCUGGUUUCUGUAUUCAUUAAAUCAAAUGACUUUGUUAAUACUAACUAGGGGCAAUCUGGGGAUACAUUAGACCUUAAUUAAAGCUAGUUCUAAGAGUUGUAUGUGGAUGUCACCUUUUGGAACUAAAAGCAAUUCAGUACUGUUAUAAAGCUCUCACAGUAGCGAACUGACAGUGAUUUUGAAAAGAGCUCUUGAAGUCAUUCUUUUUGUAUUGCUUUUUCUAUCUUGCAGCCAACUUCAGAUUUUCAGGUUGGAACAUAAUUUGUAAGGAAAGCUGAUAGUCUUAUUUAAUUAUUUAUUUAUUUAAUAUCUUAUUAAAAUGGAAUUUUUUUUGCUAGUCAUCUAGCAAUUAAUUUGAUAUGGAUGGUAGCAGGUUUGGAUGCUUUGAUUAAUUUACAAUUCAGCUAUGGAAGGAUUAUGAUCACUAGUAAUAGUGGAAGUACUUAUUUUUAACUGUUUUUACGGAAGAACGAUUUCUUGUUUUAUGUGAUUACUUCCUAAUCUCUUUUAUCUCUUGAUCUACAUACCUAAAGAAUGCUGAAAUUAGCGCUUUACACGCUUGUUUAAAGCAUAUCUGAUAUUUAAAACUUCUGAUACAAGGGGUCUGUUUCAUUUCUCUGCUUUCCUUUUCAGUACAUCUAUAUUUGAUAUUGAGACAAAGUGCAUCAGGCCUUAAAAGAGCUAUAUUGAAAGGGAAAACAGAAAGAAAAGAUAAAAACGUGAAAGGUGGAGAAGAAAAAAAGUCUGAGUCUGUCUACCUUCCAGUUUUUUGUGCUGCUUCUUGAUCUUAAGGACUUUCUUACAUGGAUAUCAGUGUGACUUCUUCUUUAAAAUGUUCAUCCAGCAGUUUGUGCUGUAUGUGUAACUCCUUUUAACAGGGAAGGAAAAACUAAGUAGAAAGGGAAUGGGUUUGACACCACAUAGUCUACAUGUAAAAGGGUAUUUAAAUCAAGUUGCCAAUUACUUGGUUUCCCUGGUUUAUUGUUCUUCUCUUCAAGAUCUCUCUUUUUUUAAAUUAGCAAAGUUUAGGUACCAUGUAAAUAGCAAAGACAGCUGUGCAACAUGAUGUUAGAUGGAAAAAUCCAGACAUAUUGCUGUAUAAUUCAAAUUAUAAUUCAACCUUCAACAAAAUGAAUUAAAUAUUGAUGGUAGGUCCUCCCCUUGAAAUUCUUUAUUCAUAGAGCUCUUCAGGACUCGUGUGGGUUCUGCUCCCUUGAGGGCUUGCACAGUUAAGACUUAAACUGAAUGCAAUUCAGCAACAGUUAGUGGGACAUCUUGGAUAUGGUUGACUCCAUUUGAACGGUAUUUUGGCACUUAAUUCCCCUUCAUUAUUUUCAUUUUUAGGAAAGUUUUUCUUCCUGUUCUUAAUUGUUUACCCAAACAGAAGAAAGAAAACAUCUCUAGGCUCUGUAGGAUGCUUUUUUGGAAUGCUUUGCUUCUCCCUGUGGAAAUCUUCAAGUAUAAUGACUUUUUUUCUUUUUUUCUGCUGACAUUAUCUUUCAAGAGUUCUACAGGGAGCAGCAGUGUGUUCUAAAAUAAAAUGGUACUUUUCAAAAUGUGUCACAAGGUCCUAAAGUCUCCAGUGAGUUUUCUCUCUAUAAAUAAAAGAAAAAAAAUCAAAAGGAUUGAGAAUAAAUUUUGAAAUUUUAAACUAUUUUGUAAGCUGAAUUUCAAAAAAGUCCAGAUCAUCCUAUCAAGAGCAACAGAAUUGGUGUGUUUCAUUUUAAGAUUGAGAUGAACAGUGCCUCAUACAAGUAUAUAGGACUUUGGCAAAUGUGGCAAUCUGAGAAAUAUCUCUUCCUUGCCAUGAAUAUUAUACAUUUGCAGUCUGACUGGAGACUUAAUGCAAGUAAAAAAGCAAUUACCAAUUUUUUUGUGGGUCAAAUCAUUGCUUUCUGACAAUACUUAAAAAUAGACAUAUGGGACUAGGUUAAGUGAAUAAAAAAUCUUUAAUGUGCCUUAUUUUUCAUCUUAGGAAGGUACUCUUGCCAUUUAAAAAUCAGUCAUUCACAGCACAUUGUACUUACCUGGAUUGGGCCCAGUUUUAUCUUUAUAGACAUAGCAAGUUUAGCCUUCUGUGUAAAGGAGCUGGAUUUUUUUAGAGAGAGAUUAGAGGUAAUGUCAAUCCAUGCCUCAACUGCUGUCACUGCAUGGCCUGAUCCUUUUGAAGACUCAAGAGGUGGAUAUUAGAAACAUACUUUACAAUGAGAAAGGACCACACUGAAAUUUCACAGAAGUAAGAAAAGACUUUAAUUGCCAUAAUUUGGUGAAUAAAAUGCUACUUGGGGUCAAAUAUUAAAAUAAUCUGAUGGUUUUUGGACACAACAAGGAGAAAAUACUCUUCCCAAUUCAUUUUGUUCAAGUAGGAAUCACUUUAAGAGAACUGUAAAUAUUAACUGAGCCUUGACAAUUGCUGACUUUUUUGAAAUGAUGCUGGAUAUCCUAAUAAGAGGUUUCUCAUUCACAGCAGGAAUAGUCUGAGCCUAUUUUUUUCUUUUAUUUCUUUUUCAGUUAAGCAGAGACAUUUCAAAGUCCACAUAAAAUUUAGGGCUGUGAGCCUGGGGGGAGAAGCUAAACGUUGCAACCCAGGAGUUGAUAGCAUUGCUGGGUAUCCAUCCAUACUUAAAACCUUUUAAUUCCAGCUGCUUUGGGUUCCUCAGAACAUGGCUGUUUGCACAGUGAUGCCCUUCCAUGCAAUAGUGCUGCUGCUUGCAUCUGCCUGGUGCUUGCACUCCACUCUCAUUCCCCAGUCCUAUGCCAAGGUUUGGGAGUGGAUUAUUGCAAAGCAGCUCAGAUCCUUCUCAACUGACCACAAAAAUUUUAUACUGCUCUGUUUCAUAUCACUGUGAGCACUGGUAAUGAUCUUAAUCUGCCAAUUUUUUAAAAAGGUGAUUGCAUUGUUAUCAUUAGUGCUUGAGUGUUCUGGCUUCCAUCAGGUCAAUGCUUGAAGGAAGUGAAAAUGUUGAAUUCAAAUGUUUAAUUCCCAACUUUUUCCAGCUAGGUCGUAUUGUAAAUCUAAAAUAACCAUUUUGUUGGAUUUCUAAACCGUUUCUUCAUUUGACGUGGUUUUGGCAAAGAUUUGGCAACUUCUGAAGCAUGUCUAUUACUAGAAAGGUGUGGUAAUCCUGAUACUGUGUUUUAGUACAAACUAACUCUAGCAAUGGUUUUUGAAGAGCACUAGCGCUUACUUACCUGCCUUUCAGUGGCUAAGCAGUUUGUUUUCAACACCUAAUCUGAAAUCGAUUAAUUUUAUUGGAUUUUUUUGGACUUGAAAGUUUAGUUAUUUAAAAUAUCAAUUGAAUGUAUGAAUAAAGGUUUAACUGGUUAAAAUUGAUAACAGAUAGUUUGCACAUGUGAAUAGUCUGGUGUUGUAUAUUUUAUGGCUUAAAUUUGGCAGAACUGCUGACAGCAGCAGGUGCAAUGGUGUUAGUAUUUGUUUCCAACUAUAUAUAUAUAUACAUUUUUUUUUUCUUUUGCUUAACUCAUAAAUUAGAAUUGUUAUACAAAGAUUUUAGUAGUUUUGCUAUUUAAUUUUUUUUGAAAACCCUUCAAAAUAUUCUAAAAUUCCAGUGAAUUAACAAGCCAGUAAUGAAGAAGUUACUUCACAAAUGUUCUUUCUUCAUUCUAAGUAAGGUUGAUCAAAAAGAGAGAACAAAAUAGAUUUUAACCCCUAAUAUUUUUAAAUAUGUUGCUCCAAAAAUAAUGCAUCCUACUUAUUUCCAUGGAAACUACAAUAGAUACAAAGAGCUCAAUAAUACUGUGCUAAUUUGAGUGCAAAUUAAGUGAGAGAAUUCAAUAGCUGUCCUAUGCACUGCAUAUGAAUAGCUUUUAAUAAUAUACACUGCAGGAGAUUAUAGAAAUGAUUCUUCUUUGAACUUUGCUUUCUUUUUUUUAUAAGUUUGCUAAUGCUCUGCAGCAUUAAACUCAUCUCUCUCCAUUUACCAAUCUCUUAAAGGGAGAAUUUUUUUCUAUGCCAAUUUCAGGCUGUUGGCACAAAGUUAACUGCAUGCUAAUUACAUUUCAAAAAUUUUCUGUGCUCAGAACUCAUUAGGUACAAAGCCAGAAAGUGUUCUCCUGCUUGACUGCCAUCUCUGUAGAUUUUCUAGGCAUUUAAGACAUCCAUAAAUUAACCCAUUUUCAAAACAUUCUGUGUAUCAAUAUGUGUUGAAGAGUCAGUCAUUCACCCUCCAUUUUACUUUACCUAGGGUUGCAAUUAGGAAAAUACAUCUGUUGGACUGUCUUCCAUGGCAAUUAGGUAUUUGUUUGAUCAUACUUUUUACAUACUUUUUUACAUACAGAUAUUUUACUGAAUCAAAGCUGUUAAUCUUUGAACAAUGAAGAUGUGGAAGGAUUUCCCAGGAAAACGUGAAAGAGAGGAAUUACUGUAAGAAAAGAGAGGAACAAUUGUAAACUCCCAGUGAUGGAGAGGAUUAAUUCGCAUCUGAUAGUGGGAUGAUACUACAUUUACCAGAAAGAGAAUAAAUGUUUUUUACACACUGCUGUAAGAAGUGACAUCUCAAAAGUCAUUGAGAUUUAAGCAGUAACUUCAAACUGAUUGCACUUUUUUAAAGCCUGAAUUGUUAGUUAAAUAAGCAAAAAAUUAAAGGUCUUAACAAGGCUGUAACACUUGAAUUCAGUAUCCCACAAGAGUAUUUGUGCUAAUAGUUUUGUCUUUCUAGUAUAAUUAUUAUAAAUCUUAAGCAUAGUCAGAAUUGAUAACAUCAAAAAAGAGUGAUAUUUUUUCCAUUAAUUGAAGUAAUAAUUUAAUCAUAGGAUCAUUAAGGUUGGAAAAGACCUCUAAGAUCAUCUUCUCCAGGCAUCAACCCAUUACCACCAUGCCCUCUAACCGUGUCCCUCAAUGCCACAUUUGUAUGUUACUUGAAUACCUGUAGGGAUGGUGACUCUACCAUCUCCCUGGGCAACCUAUUCCAAUGCAUUACCACUCCCUGCCUCAUGCAAUAAAGAAUGGAGAUUCUCCUUUGCUCUCCUUUUGUUAAUGUAUUUGUAAAAAUCUCUUUUUGUUAUCUUUUAAUGCUGUCCAGAUUAAGUUCUAGCUGGGUUUUUGCCUUUCUGAUUUUGUCUCUGCACAUCCUAGCAACAUCCUUGUAUGCUUUUUGAGUUGCCUGCAGCUUUUUCCUAAGGUUUUAAACUCUCUUUUUUUUCCCCAGAAUCUCAGCAAAAAUUUCCUUCUUAGUCCAAAAUGUGAUUAGAUAGUUUCAAUAAUAUGUUUUAACUUGUUCGGUAGAUAGUAUUUUAAAUUUCCUUGUGACCUUACUAGUGAAAUUGAAUAAACGGUUCUUUUUUUCUCAUGCAUUAAAUAACUUUGUGACUGGACAGAUAGCAAAACAGAGCAUGUUUUCACAGAGAUACUUUCAGAAUGUUAGUGUAACGUGCUUUUCAUAUUGUUCCUGAGGAAGACUUCCACUUCAGUACUAGUCAGCAUGUAUAUUUUUAUAUAUGCUCAGAUGUUCAAAGUACCUUGUAAUGUAAUUAACUCAGGCCCAUGUAAUUAUUUCAGUAUAAUUACUUUAAUCUAAAACUUUGCCAUUACUUGUUCUAUUUUCAAAUUCCAGUAAUCAACACUAUCUGCUGCAGCAGCAGCUCUAUCUGCUGCUUAUCAUCAGAUGUUUCAUUUCUCCUCAGAACGUUCUUAAAUCAUGACUCUUUAAGGAUGAAUCUUUACAGGUUGUAGUGGAGGGAAGAAAUGUUCAACGUUUCUCAUGAAGCAUGACACGGGAAAUAGUUUUUUGUAUUAGUAAAAUGAAAAUUUUGCAAUAUAUUAAGACAGAUGCCUGGGAUUUGUGUAGAAAAAUGUAUGGAAGUCACUAUGGUUUAAAAUAUUAGACCUUCACCAUGAGCACAGGCCUAGGUUUGGUUAAACUGUGCUUUUUAGAUAUACAAAAAGGAUUUGAUUCUGCGUGAUAUCAGAUGAUAUUGAUGUCUGCUUGAUAUCAGUGUAGUCUCAGACUCCCAGAUGUUUAGCUGAGAACCAGCUGGUGCUCUACUUUAAACUCUUCAGCCAUAAGCCCAAGCCGUAAGCCUAUGAGGAGAGAACGAAGAAUGUUUAUUGGCGAAAUAUUGGAUAGGUCAGUUAUUUAUCCAACACUACUCAUGUAGACUCCCCUGCAACCACACAGGCAGCCUAGAAUUGAAACUGAUUUGUCUUGCCUACCUUUUGAGUACUAAAGUACAAGUACAAAAGACAGAAAUAUAACAGCAAAGAUAGUUACUUAGGAGAUAAGAACAUAUGUUAAUUUCCUACAAUACUAGGACUGAUAGUUCCUCACCUUUUCCCUGGAAGGCUGCAUACAUUCACUGUUAGCUGAAAAAAGUCCAAGCUAAUCAGUGAGUAAUAUUCUGAUGGCAAUUAUUUUCUUGUUUUUGAGCUGCUUAAGCAGUAGGUACUUCUAUUCACAGAUCCUUAUUUUCUGCAAAUUUUCCAAAAGUUUUGAUAAAUAUUGCCUAAAACCUAUAAUUGUGCCAGCUUUUCUCUUCAUUCAGGCUAUAGCACCAGUGCCCUAGUCUGUUGCAUGAACUAGUUGCAAAAUUCACUGUAAGUUUUUAUAAGAAAUGUCAAAGUGACAAAGCUACAGUUUUGGAAUUGAUAUUUUGCUUGACACAAGGCUGCUUUUUGCUGUAAUAAAAUUAGAAGGUAGACUAUUAUUAUCUUUUUCCUUAUUCUAUUGGGGUCGUAUCAUCAGGUUUUUUUUCCUCGCAUAUUUCUUAUUUCCAGUAUGAAAUUGCAAUAUAUGUGUGGAAUCAGCAUUUAUUGUAUUCUUUUCAAAUGGCUUUGCUUCAUUUUUCAUGGGUAAUGAUUUGCCUUUCUUUAUAUUGAGUGGUGUGGAUAAUUAACUUGCAGUAAAUAGGAUCAAAUUUUGAGAUCAUGCUUAUGAAAAUCAAUAGAUGCCUAGGUAUGAUGCAGCCUCUCUAUUCUUGCAGACACAUUCUUCCAUCAUUACUUUUUUCAGAUGAGGAUAUUGUCUUGCAGUUAUCCUAAGAUUUUAGAGUGUACUGCAUAUUUCCCAAGACCUGAAGAAACAAUAUUCUUUAAAAAAUCUCAGGUGUUAAUAAAUCUCCUAAUUACUAGUCAGCAAUUUCUUUUGUAUAAUGAUAAAUCACUGAACUGAUUUAUUUUUAUUUUGGGAGUUUUAUUUUUCCC